rnacentral:lncRNA from 1 species
GCAUGUUGAAUGACCAUGCAAUUUCGGGAUUGCACGAUCUCACAUCUGUUCAACCAGCUAUCCGAUGAUAUUCUUUAUAAAUCAUCAAAAUUUCAAGAAUCAAAGUAAGUGAAGCAAUCCCUCUCAGAGAACUCGUUGCUACUUUCUUUAUUCUCUGAAUCUAAUUUGAGCAUCAGAAGGAUCCUCGCAGGAAUGAAAACUUUCAGUCCGAACUUCUUUUACAAAUGAUCACUUCCGUACUCCC